AAAUAGAUAGUUUAAAACACAAAUUCUAUUAUAAAAGAGUUACUAAAUAUUGCAUAAAGCACAUAAAAUACAACUAAUUAUAAAAAAUAAAAAUAAAUAAAAUUAUUUUUUCUUUUUAGUUUAAAUUAGAAAGAAUUUAAUUUUGGUUCCGAUUGAACGUUAUUCAGUAGUUUUAAGACAUGCAAAUCGUUGUUUCCGAAAAUUAAUACUUAAGUUUAAGAAAUUGGACAAAAAAAUAUUAGGAAAUAAGGUGUAAAGGUGAGGAUAGUAAAUAAGAUACCUUAUAGUCUCCAUAAAUAAGAGAUAUUUUUAAACUAUACGCUAAAAAUCAAAAUUCAUUUUUAAAGGUUUAAAAAAUAAAAAUAAUUUAUUUUUAUAAGAAAGGAAUUUUUCUGCUAUAAGAUUCUAUUUAUUUUGAUUAGGUAGUUGGAAGGGUAAAGGCCUCCCAAGCCCACGAUCAAUAGCUAAGCUUGAUAGAGCAGAUGGCCACAUUGGGAAUGAAAUCUCCCAAGUAGUUUAUAUACUACCAGCAGUCAAGAAUAUUAGUCAAUGCUCGCAAGAGUGAACUAGCUAACUGAAAUCAAUGAAAAUAAUAGAUUGAUAACGUAAGGGAAAAUAAUGAUAUUACCUUACUAUUAGUGUCGUCCAAAACUGGUGCCAGAAGACUCGGUAAGGCCAGAGACGCAAACGUUAAUCGUCUUAAUCAGGCGUAAAGGGUUUGUAGGCUGCUUUUAACUUAGAAUAUAAAAAUAAAAGCUAGAAUCAAAUAGAGGUUAUAUUACAUAAUACUUAGAGUAGGUCUUAUAUCCUUAGAUACUAAGGGGAAUAUUAAGGGCGAAAGCUUUUUUACCAUUAAUGAUUGACGCUGAGAAACGAAGGUGAGGAAAGGAAAUAGGAUUAGAUACCCAAAAUACCCCUCUCUGUCAACGAUGAAUGGUAACUAUUAGUAAUAAAAUUAGUAGUAAUGUUAACACAAUAACCAUUCCGCCUUGUUACUACGACUGCAAAGUUAAAAACAAAAAAAUUAGUCGGUCUCGAAGCAAACGAAGUGAAGCAUGUUAUUUAAUACGAUAAUCCGCGUAAAACCUUACCAGUUCUUGCAUAAAAACUUUUUUGUUUUGUAUAUCUAAUAUAACAAAUAAUUAAGGAGUGUAUUAAUUAAUAUAAAGAAUAUAUUAUAUUUAUUUUUUAUAUAAAUACAUUUAUUUACAGGUGUUGCAUGGCUGUCUUCAGUCCGUAUUGUGAGAACUGAGGUUAAUUCCGCUAACGGACGAAAUCCCUGUUGUUAAUUAAAAAUUGAUAGUAUAAAUUUUAUACUAACUGACUUAACAAUUAAUGGUUCUGAUAGAGUACCAUUUGGGGCUAAGACAAGUCGUUAUGGCCCUUAUGAACUGGGCUAUAGACGUGCCACAAAAACUUUUACAAAGUGAUGCGAUACUGUUCCCUAUUUCUGAAUUUAUAUAAAAUUAAAAUUUAAAUGUUUAAUAACUAUAAUCCGUCAGCGGAAAAUUUAAAAUAAUUUUUAAUCGAAAGGUUUAGAAUUCAGUAAAUAUUUGACUCUUAUUUUUAAUUGUCAAAGUAAAGGGAAAGAAGGUGGAGCUAAUCAUUAAAUAAAGUUAAAUUAUUAAAAUUUAGUCGGAUUGUCGUCUGCAAUUCGGUGACAUGAAGAAGGAAUUUCGAGUAAUCGUUGAUCACUAGGCGCAACGGUGAAAUAAGCAUUCGUGAUGAACUAACUGUCUGUCACUGGGAAGAAGCUUAUAAUGGAAGAAACUGGAACAAAGUUAAAAUUUU
rnacentral:rRNA from 1 species